rnacentral:rRNA from 1 species
AACGAACGCUGGCGGCAGGCUUCAUACAUGCAAGUCGAGCGAUUAAAGCCCCUUCGGGGGUAUAUAAAGCGGCGAACGGGUGAGUAACAGGUGGAUAAUCUGCCUUCCGGUGGGGAUAACGGCUGGAAACGGCCGCUAAUACCGCGUACGGUCACGAGGUCCUCGGGCCUUGUGAAGAAAGGGGCAAUUGCCUCGCCGGGAGAUGAGUCCGCCCCCCAUUAGCUAGUUGGUGAGAUAACAGCCCACCAAGGCGACGAUGGGUAGCCGAGCUGAGAGGUUGAUCGGCCACACUGGAACUGAGACACGGUCCAGACACCUACGGGUGGCAGCAGUAGGGAAUAUUGCGCAAUGGACGAAAGUCUGACGCAGCCAUGCCGCGUGGAUGAUGAAGGCCUUCGGGUCGUAAAAUCCUUUUCUGAGGGGAGAACAGUGAGGGGAGUGGAAAGCCUCUCAUCUGACGGUACCUCAGGAAUAAGCAACGGCUAACUCCGUGCCAGCAGCCGCGGUAAUACGGAGGUUGCAAGCGUUGUUCGGAAUGACUGGGCGUAAAGGGGGCGCAGGCGGCUAGGUCAGUCUGAAGUGAAAAAUCCGGGGCUCAACUCCGGACGUGCUUUGGAUACUGCCUAGCUUGAGUACGUGAGAGGAGAGUGGAAUUCCAGGUGUAGCGGUGAAAAUGCGUAGAUAUCUGGAGGAACAUCUGUGGCGAAAAGCGGCUCUCUGGCACGAUACUGACGCUGAGGCCCGAAAGCGUGGGGAGCGAACAGGAUUAGAUACCCUGG